rnacentral:tRNA from 1 species
GGCGCUUUAGCUCAGUUGGUUAGAGCACCGGAAUCAUAAUCCGGGUGUCCGGGGUUCGAGUCCCUGAAGCGCCACCA